rnacentral:lncRNA from 1 species
CAUCACUAGUAAUUAUUUCAGUCCUUUCAAACAAAAGGUUGCAUUUAAUUUGCUUCACUUCAGCAACAAACACCUGAAGGUUCAACUAAUACACCAGCAUCAAGUGAAGAUCGAUCUCCUUUUGGACAGUCUAGCUGAUCCAAAGAUCUUGCAAACAACAAAUAAUUCCCUUUUUUUGCGUUGCGAGGAAUCUUGGAACAGGUUUAAAAUAAUGACACAUGCUUGUUUUGACAGCCAAUAGUUACAUG